GAAAUAUCUUGACACACAGAUCAUUGUGACUUUAGUGGAGCAACUCCUUCAAAGGAAUGCCUAGAGUGUGACUCAGGAACCACCUACUUGGAGUUGCCAGAGUGCUCAAUAAACACUGUCCUGAAAGUUUGAGGUAAAGGAAAUCAGAUCAGAGAGCAUUUCUCCUUCAGUAUCUAAUGAAAUGGACCCAAAAUAUUGUGUUUUAAGAGACCAAAAAUUCAUCAGUAGAAAUCAAGACUGAAAAAAGAGAAAACUCCAGGUGGUUAACAACUAGAAGAUGUGUUGAAUUCUGCAAUCAAAUUGGUAUAGUGAUAACGAGCAGUGUGAGAUGCGGAAUCAAAGGACAUGUGGGAAAAGACAUCUGGCUUCUUUGUAGAUUUCCAGAGAUCUGAUUGUGCCAUGUAUUUGCCAACUGCUUUAUUUAGUAAAUAUUAAGGUCUAAGUAAAUAUGAAAUCUUUCAGUUUGUAGAAUUUCCAAUGGCUGUUUCUGUAGGAGCAUAAAAGUGGAAGUUAGUGUGCAGAGGAAUGUACCAGGACCAUGUACUUUGUAGUAAAUAAUGUAACCCUGUCCCUAUUCCACCUCAAUGUCAGACAUGGGCUGUGACUACUUUGCUCAUUGGUUCAAGGUCUACUGGUGUAUAUUCUUUGCAUCCCCUUUCUACCAAUACUAGGCUCAAUCCUCCCAAAGGACACACUGUUCUAUUUCCCAGGAUAUCCACCAUGUAACUAACUCUCUGUGACCCAGGGCAAUUUUCUCUUUUGCUUGUUUCUGAAAUCUUAGUUACACCUAUCUCCCUUAAUGGCAAUGUCCUUAUAGAGUAGCCCUCAUACCUUGGGCUGCUAAAAAGUGUUAGGUUUUACAGGUGCACAAAGCCCUGUUUUGUUAUUCCUUGUUUCAGUUGACGGUAUCACCAUCUACCUGGUCAUUCAGGCUACAAUCCAACAUUGUUGCUUUGACUAUUUGUGAUUUUAGCAUCCAAGAACU